UGUGGAGGAGGACGCCGAAGGUGGGGCUAAUGACUGGGGUGAAGUCGUAAAAGGUAGCCGUACCGGAAGGUGCGGCUGGAUCACCUCCUAACAGGGAGACAACAAAAUGUUUAAUAUUAUUAUUUUGUCACCUUAGGUCGAUCGGUAUCUCACGUUCUUAAUUUAUUAAGGAUUUCAUUUCCUAAGUUUUUCUAGGUCACACCCAUUAUUUUCCCUGGGCCAUUAGCUCAGGUGGUUAGAGCGCACCCCUGAUAAGGGUGAGGUCCCUGGUUCAAGUCCAGGAUGGCCCAUAUCUCUAUGUUGGGGGUAUAGCUCAGUUGGUAGAGCGCCUGCUUUGCAAGCAGGAUGUCAGCGGUUCGAGUCCGCUUACCUCCACUGAUUACCACCUCUUUCAUAAUCUGUAGAAAGGGAAUUUUUUGAGUCGUGUCCAAAUUCUGAAAGAAUCUAGCUUCCUAAUGAAAUCAUUAAGAUGCUGGACUCAUUGAAUUAAUUUCAUUGUUUUCAGAGAACCUUGACAACUGCAUAGAUUAUUUUUUAAAGACAAUAAGCAUCUUUAAUGAUGCAGAUUUAUUAUUUGUGCGAAUGCAUUAAUAACAAUUCUAUUAAGCUGAUGCUUCAAUUUUGAAGUUAUUGGUCAAGCUACAA
rnacentral:misc_RNA from 1 species